GUACACAAAAAUGCACAUAUUGUGAGCUCGAUGAGUAGGGCGGGACACGUGGUAUCCUGUCUGAAUAUGGGGGGACCAUCCUCCAAGGCUAAAUACUCCUGACUGACCGAUAGUGAACCAGUACCGUGAGGGAAAGGCGAAAAGAACCCCGGCGAGGGGAGUGAAAAAGAACCUGAAACCGUGUACGUACAAGCAGUGGGAGCCUCUUUAUGGGGUGACUGCGUACCUUUUGUAUAAUGGGUCAGCGACUUAUAUUCUGUAGCAAGGUUAACCGAAUAGGGGAGCCGAAGGGAAACCGAGUCUUAACUGGGCGUUAAGUUGCAGGGUAUAGACCCGAAACCCGGUGAUCUAGCCAUGGGCAGGUUGAAGGUUGGGUAACACUAACUGGAGGACCGAACCGACUAAUGUUGAAAAAUUAGCGGAUGACUUGUGGCUGGGGGUGAAAGGCCAAUCAAACCGGGAGAUAGCUGGUUCUCCCCGAAAGCUAUUUAGGUAGCGCCUCGUGAAUUCAUCUCCGGGGGUAGAGCACUGUUUCGGCAAGGGGGUCAUCCCGACUUACCAACCCGAUGCAAACUGCGAAUACCGGAGAAUGUUAUCACGGGAGACACACGGCGGGUGCUAACGUCCGUCGUGAAGAGGGAAACAACCCAGACCGCCAGCUAAGGUCCCAAAGUCAUGGUUAAGUGGGAAACGAUGUGGGAAGGCCCAGACAGCCAGGAUGUUGGCUUAGAAGCAGCCAUCAUUUAAAGAAAGCGUAAUAGCUCACUGGUCGAGUCGGCCUGCGCGGAAGAUGUAACGGGGCUAAACCAUGCACCGAAGCUGCGGCAGCGACACUAUGUGUUGUUGGGUAGGGGAGCGUUCUGUAAGCCUGUGAAGGUGGCCUGUGAGGGUUGCUGGAGGUAUCAGAAGUGCGAAUGCUGACAUAAGUAACGAUAAAGCGGGUGAAAAGCCCGCUCGCCGGAAGACCAAGGGUUCCUGUCCAACGUUAAUCGGGGCAGGGUGAGUCGACCCCUAAGGCGAGGCCGAAA
rnacentral:rRNA from 1 species